CAAGAAUAUUACUAUAUAGUAAAUAUGUGGGAAACCAUCGUACAUUUGUGACCUCCCAUUUCCUAUGGAUAUUUCAGUUGUAUGUUACAUCGCACAUUAGUACAGGGAUACAGAGCACAUGUAAAGCAGAUCCUGACACGCCCCUUCCUGAGCAGUGGAUGUCAGAAUGGUUGAGCAGCAGAACAUAGGGUUUUGUGAGCCAAAUGCAGAAGCUAGACACAUAAAAAGAUAAGAAUUUGCAUGACCUAAUCAGCAUGAAAGGAAAGACAUAACCCAAAAAUACAACAUAGCAUCUUCUCUUAGCCUUCCCUGAUGUCUUCAGACUGACAAGUCUAAUAGCUUGUGUGGCCUUCUGCGGCAGAAGACGAGAC